GCGAAAGGGUGCGUAACACGUGGGGAAUUUACCAAGGAAGUGGGGAAUAGCUCGGCGAGAAGCCGAAUUAAUACCGCAUGUGAUCGAAAGAUCAAAGCCGGGGACCGCAAGGGCCUGGCGCUUUUUGAGAAGCCCGCGGCCCAUCAGCUUGUUGGCGGGGUAACGGCCUACCAAGGCUUCGAUCGGUAGCCGGCCUGAGAGGGCACACGGCCACACUGGCACUGAAACACGGGCCAGACUCCUACGGGAGGCAGCAGUGGGGAAUCUUGCACAAUGGAGGAAACUCUGAUGCAGCGACGCCGCGUGAGCGAUGAAGCCCUUCGGGGUGUAAACCCCUUUCGACCCGGAAGAAUGCCCGCAAGGGUUUGACGGUACGGGUAUAAGAAGCCCCGGUUAACUACGUGCCAGCAGCCGGGUAAAACGUAGGGGGCCAGGUGCUCGGAAUUACUGGGCGUAAAGGGUCCCGUAGGCGGUGUGGCAAGUCCGGGAAGUGAAAUCUCUGGGGUUAAC
rnacentral:rRNA from 1 species